AUUCUUGUCUUUUUCACUUGGUAUUACUUUUUCUUUUCCCACGUGUUCAAUAGCAUACACAUCGAGUUGUAGUAAAAAAGGACAGCAGAAGGACUUCAACUAGAUGGCCAGGAAGCUGCAAAGAAACUGAGAGCGCAGCAGCAAAAUGUGUAUCAUCAUCAUCCUCAUCUUUGUUAUGUUAUUUAUUUUUAUGGUUUCAUGAUUGUUAAUAAAAAAAAUAUAACA
rnacentral:ribozyme from 14 species